rnacentral:rRNA from 1 species
AAAUCCCCGGGCUCAACCUGGGAACUGCAUCUGAUACUGGCAAGCUUGAGUCUCGUAGAGGGGGGUAGAAUUCCAGGUGUAGCGGUGAAAUGCGUAGAGAUCUGGAGGAAUACCGGUGGCGAAGGCGGCCCCCUGGACGAAGACUGACGCUCAGGUGCGAAACGUGGGGAGCAAACAGGAUUAGAUACCCUGGUAGUCCACGCCGUGAACGAUGUCGACUUGGAGGUUGUGCCCUUGAGGCGUGGCUUCCGGAGCUAACGCGUUAAGUCGACCGCCUGGGGAGUACNGCCGCAAGUUAAAACUCAAAUGAAUUGACGGGGGCCCGCACAANNUGGAGCAUGUGGUUUAAUUCGAUGCAACGCGAAGAA